GAACAUAGUAAUAUGCCGGCGCACUGCUUACCAUAGGAUGUGCCGCGUUGUAACUCACAAUAUAACUCUGAUGCUGCUGAGGAACAUAAUAACUAGCGUGUGGAUGCUGAUCACACGGGUUAGGAUAAGGAUGCUGAUUUGAAUGGCCUUGAUUCGCUUGAUCCAUCAUCUGAUUGGGACCCAUUUUCGCAGCAUCUGAUUCGCUACCUGGCGGUGCACCAUUAGACCCUGCACUCGCAUUUGGAUUUGCAUUGUUAUUCCCACU
rnacentral:misc_RNA from 1 species